CCUACGGGAGGCAGCAGUGGGGAAUAUUGCACAAUGGGGGAAACCCUGAUGCAGCGACGCCGCGUGAGUGAAGAAGUAAUUCGUUAUGUAAAGCUCUAUCAGCAGGGAAGAAAAUGACGGUACCUGAGUAAGAAGCCCCGGCUAACUGCGUGCCAGCAGCCGCGGUAAUACGGAGGAUGCGAGCGUUAUCCGGAUUUAUUGGGUUUAAAGGGUGCGUAGGCGGAUUUUUAAGUCAGCGGUAAAAUGUCCGGGCUCAACCCGGGCCGGCCGUUGAAACAGGGGAUCUUGAGUGGGCGAGAAGUAUG
rnacentral:rRNA from 1 species